CUCAGCCAACACCUGCCAGGAGGGAAACAAGAAACCCUCACUGGGAACUGCACGGCUCUGCUCCCAGCCCUCUGGCCACUGAGGACCACUUAUCAUUCAAGGGGACAGACCCUACGGGGAGGAGCAGAGCUGGGGCCCUCCGGAGGCCAGCCUCUCAAGAGCCAUUUCUGGUGCUACCGGAGGAGCGAGGCCCUGUUCUGAUCCGGAGACACUGCAGCGUCUAUAGAAGGAAGAGGCCUUUGCCAGGUGAGAUAAAGAGGAACUGACUCAGCGCAAGAAGACAGCUCGGACUCCAUUUGAUUUCAUCCCUGAUCAGUCGGCACUCCCGGCUCACUGGCUUCCCUCCACCCACCAAGUUAUUCUUAAAACCUCUGCUCCCUGAAUGCUCGGGGAGACCGAUUUAAUAAUAAAACUCCAGGCUCUUGCACAGCUGGCUCUGCAUGAAUUACUCUUUCUCUAUUGCAAUUCCCCUGUCUUGAUGAAUUGGCUCCAUCUAGGCAGUGGACAAGGUGAACCCACUGGGAGAUUACACUUACACAAAGCGGAAAUUUGGACACAGAGACAUGAGUCAAAGGAAGACAAUGUGAAGACACAGAAGAUGGCCCUUUGCAAGCCAAGGAGAAAGGCCUGGAACAGACCUUGAAGACCCUGGCUUGCAGACCUUCCCUCACAGCCUCAGAAGGAGCCCACCCUGCUGACACCUUGAUUUUGGACUUCCAGCCCCAGAACUAUGAGACAGUGUAUUUCUGUUGUUUAAGCCAUAGGUACCCAGCCUUUGUACUGUUUUCAGCAGCUCUAAAUCCCCUCUAUUAAAUGCCUUAGUGCUG
rnacentral:lncRNA from 10 species